GCCUGACUAGCUCAGUGGCAUAGAGCAUGGGACUCUUGAUCUUGGAAUUGUGAGUUCAAGCCCCAUGUUGGGUG
rnacentral:tRNA from 1 species